CAACCACACCUAGAAAGCAAGGCAACCACACAUAAAAAGAACUACUGUGAAGGUAACUAGAAAGGAAGAACCUAACAUCAAGCAUAGCUACUCAAGCAACAUACAGCAAGGCAUUUUAUCUAAUUUUACACAAGCAAAGUGACAUCAUAUUAAUUCACAAGUUACUUAUUGUUAGAACAAGGGUGACAAGAGCAAAGUUAUGCAUAGGGCAAUCAAUCAUGAUGAUGCAUGCUUCGUCCUAUUCGUCCUCACAAAAUUACCAGCCUAAGGUGGUAAUCACGUUCUAUAUCGGUGGCAUAAUACGCACACUCUCGAUAUAUAGCUAGUCGUUAGCUACAAACAAUCUACGCAUUCGUGGUUAGCGUACCUGCAGAAAAUUUCAUUUCAGCCCAACCCAACAAUGAUAUAAGUGCAUGAAAUGAAACACUAGACUCUAGGUUGAAAGCUAAAUGCUCCCACAACUCACACUUACCUGAGCGUAGGUGCAACGUUACAAAAUUUAAAUCUAUCAACAUAUAUGGCUAAUUCAUAUAUGAGGGCUACCUCCACCAUUUGACCACAGGGUAGCAUAGUGCGGUCAUUAUACAUACAUACCUUGGCCUGGGCGUAGAUGUAAAUUGAUCCAUACAUUACCACUCAAGUGAAUGGCAUCCAUACAAUAGCACGCCGUAUGGACGACGAAAAAAAAAUAAUAAAAAUUGCAGUAAGUAAAUCCCCCCAUAGUUAGUACUUAACUAAGCCACCUAAAGGUCCUUAGUUGGGCAUAGAGGAAUGACCACUGGCAUACUUAGAUUAAAAGUUCAGAUUUGAACACACCUAUAUAUAGCUAUAAGUUGUCAAAACUGAUUUUUAUAAAGAAAAGCUUUGUUUUAAAUACACAUGUGACAUGUUUACUGUUGAACCUUGCUCCGAUGCCAGCUGUCACGGAACCGUCCAAAUUAUAAGAGCACAAGUACAAAAAAACAAUCACCGAAGUGAUCAAUUUAUCAUACUUGAGCCCAUAUAACUCCGGUAGUCCAACAAAAUCACGAGGGAUUUCAAACCAACCAACAUACAAGCCAAGAUCGUAGUGAUUCAACAUAACAAGUCACACGUUACAUACAUUUCGCAAGUAGUUCAAAU
rnacentral:lncRNA from 1 species